UAGCGGUGAAAUNNNUAGAUNNNACGAAGAACUCCGANUGCGAAGGCAGCAUNNCGCAGCGCAACUGACGCUGAGGCUCGAAAGCGCGGGUAUCGAACAGGAUUAGAUACCCUGGNNNUCCGCGCGGUAAACGANGGAUGCCCGCCGUGGGGGAGUUAUUUUCCGCGGCCAAGCGAAAGCGUUAAGCAUCCCACCUGGGGAGUACGCCGGCAACGNNNAAACUCAAAGGAAUUGACGGGGGCCCGCACAAGCGGAGGAACAUGUGGUUUAAUUCGAUGAUACGCGAGGAACCUUACCCGGGCUUGAAUUGCAGGANNNCGAUCCAGAGAUGGUGAGGCNNNUCGGGGCUCCUGUGAAGGUGCUGCAUGGUUGUCGUCAGCUCGUGCCGUGAGGUGUCGGCUCAAGUGCCAUAACGAGCGCAACCCCCGCCCGCAGUUGCCAUNNNGUGAUGCCGGGCACUUUGCGGGGACUGCCGCCGCAAGGUGCGAGGAAGGCGGGGACGACGUCAAAUCAGCACGGCCCUUACGUCCGGGGCUACACACGUGUUACAAUGGGGUNUACAGAGUGUUGUGCCCGCGCAAGNNGGUUCGAAUCAUGAAAGCACCCCUCAGUUCGGACUGGGGUUUGCAACCCGACCCCACGAAGCUGGAUUCGCUAGUAAUCGCGCAUCAGCCAUGGCGCGGUGAAUACGUUCCCGGGCCUUGUACACACCGCCCGUCAAGCCAUGAAAGCCGNNNGCGNNNGAAGUCCAUGACCGCGAGGGUCGGCCUAGGGCGAGACCGGUGAUUGGGGCUAAGUCGUAACAAGGUAACCA
rnacentral:rRNA from 1 species